rnacentral:rRNA from 1 species
AGGGUUUGAUCCUGGCUCAGAACGAACGCUGGCGGCGUGGCUAAGACAUGCAAGUCGAACGGACUAUGUAAUUGAGUAAUCGUGCACAUAGUUAGUGGCGAAAGGGUUAGUAAUGGCUAGGUAACGUACCCCCUGCUCUGGGAUAGUUAUCCGAAGGGAUAAGUAAUACCAGAUAAUAUCGUAAAUCGAUAGGUUUACGAUCAAAGAUUUAUCGGGAGGGGAGCGGCCUAGUUCCCAUCAGCUUGUUGGUGAGGUAAUGGCUCACCAAGGCUAUGACGGGUAGCGGGACUGAGAGGUUGGCCCGCAACAUCGGGACUGAGACACUGCCCGGACCUCCACGGAGGGCUGCAGUAACGAAUAUUGUGCAAUGGGCGAAAGCCUGACACAGCGACGCCGCGUGUAGGAGGAAGUCCCUCGGGAUGUAAACUACUGUCAGGGUGAAGAAAGUCUGUUUCGGCAGAUUGAUCUAACCCGGAGGAAGUCACGGCUAACUUCGUGCCAGCAGCCGCGGUAAGACGAAGGUGGCAAGCGUUGUUCGGUAUUACUGGGCUUAAAGCGUGUGUAGGCGGAUAAAUUAGCGUUUUGUGAAAUCCCUCGGCUUAACCGAGGAAUUGCUUGACGAACUGUUUAUCUUGAGGCAAGUAGGGGUACACGGAACUCUUGGUGGAGCGGUGGAAUGCGUAGAUAUCAAGAGGAACGCCAGUGGUGAAGACGGUGUACUGGGCUUGAUCUGACGCUGAGACGAAAGCGUGGGGAGCAAACAGGAUUAGAUACCCUGGUAGUCCACGCUGUAAACGAUGCCUACUAGGUCGCGGAGGUUCUGACACCGUCGCGGCUGGAGCGAAAGUUUUAAGUAGGCCGCCUGGGGAGUACGGUCGCAAGGCUAAAACUCAAAGGAAUUGACGGGGGCUCACACAAGCGGUGGAGCAUGUGGAUUAAUUCGAAGCAACGCGCAGAACCUUACCUGGGUUUGACAUGGUUGGAUGCCCUCUUGGAAACAGGAGUAAGCUGCCCUUCGGGGUGAAACUUUCACAGGUGCUGCAUGGCUGUCGUCAGCUCGUGUCGUGAGAUGUUGGGUUAAGUCCUUUAACGAGCGAAACCCUUACCGUUAGUUGCCAUCAGGUUAUGCUGGGGACUCUAGCGGGACUGCCGGUGUUAAACCGGAGGAAGGCGGGGAUGACGUCAAGUCAUCAUGGCCUUUAUGCCCAGGGCUUCACACGUGCUACAAUGGUCGGUACAGAGCGACGCAAGACCGCGAGGUGGAGCAAAUCGCAAAAAGCCGGCCCCAGUUCGGAUUGUAGGCUGGCAACUCGCCUGCAUGAAGUUGGAAUCGCUAGUAAUCGCGUGUCAGCUAUAACGCGGUGAAUGUGUUCCUGAGCCUUGUACACACCGCCCGUCAAGUGAUGGGAGUUGGGAGUACCCGAAGUCGGAUUGCUAACCAGUAAUGGAAGCGUCUGCCGACGGUAAGCCCGAUGACUGGCACUAAGUCGUAACAAGGUA